rnacentral:misc_RNA from 1 species
AACCAUAGAAACCUGCGGAGUACCUGCGGAGGGAUCAUUACAGAGUUGCAAAACUCCCACAAACCAUCGCGAAUCUUACCCGUACGGUUGCCUCGGCGCUGGCGGUCCGGAAGGCCCUCGGGCCCCCGGACCCUCGGGUCCCCCGCUCGCGGGGGGCUGCCCGUCGGAGUGCCGAAACCAAACUCUUGAUAUUUUAUGUCUCUCUGAGUAAACUUUUAAAUAAGUCAAAACUUUCAACAA